GCUUUCCCACCACUGAACACAAUUUUACUCCAAGAGCACCCUCUGCUGGAUUGGUGCAGGACCCAGUGGUCUCAGCCAUCUUGGAAGUGGCCCCAACAGGAACUCUGAACGGGUGAAAAGGAAGACUGGAGUUUCCUUGCGAGUUGGGUUCCCACUCAGAGAAGCCCUGAGCUAUCAUUGUUUAAAUACUAGCCCCCAAAUAAGAUGGAUCCAGCCCCUCUCCAUUUCUCAUUCUAUUUCAGUUUCAUUCUUUGCCUCAUCCUGCUGCUCAGCAUUUAGGGAAAGAAUUCACAGUGGUGUCUCCAGCCUUAAAGAUCAUCUUGCGGUAAAGAAAAUAAAAUUUAAAGAGUGGACCUGUGGUCUAGCGACAUGGGCAGAAAAUCAAGGAUUCUACCUUCUUCUUGAGGCCUAAUUGGUGGGUUGUAAAGGAAAUUCCACAACCACCUCUCAUUGGACUGACACGGGGAUGUGCCCAUCUCUGAAGGCUUGCAAAGUUUAUCUGCUGCUUGGCUGCGCCUGGUCUAUCCCACUCCUAGGGUCUAGACAAGUUCCUCCUAACUCACAUGGAUUGGUGGUGGGACGAAGAGUGAGACACUGGUGCUGCAAUAUGGGAAAGUAGGUGCUGGAAAGGCCCCAGCAUCCAUCAUAGCAGCCUUAUCAACGAGAGCUAAAAGGACAAACACUUGAUGUGAGGUGAUUUGGCGAUGACUCAGAAUCACCGUCUUAUGCAUAUGAGACCAGAAAUAGCAAAUCAGAAGAGGAGAGAGGGCUGCCAGAGGCAGAUCCACUGAAAAUGGAGAAAAGUACAAGGUUGGAGUGUGGAGUCAAGCAGCCCUUUAAACCUAGAGAGUCUUCUAGAAUGUCAUGAUACUUCAAAGGUAGGCUACCCAAGGGAGACAGAGAAACGAAAACUCAGAAAAUACCAUAGGCUCGUGUAUAGUGGCAUGAACAGAUGAGCAACCUCAGAAGUAAAAUGGAAAGGGCCAGCCUGGCAACCCCCGGAGGACAGCCUGCAAGGACGCUCCGUUCCUGCUCAACGACCCUUACAAAACGGCAUCUUUUUAAAGACUUAUGGAGAUGUUAGAGGUUGAUUAUAGAAAGGUGAUGGAUAAUGAAUUAAUUCAAGAAUUAAUAUAAUAUUAACAUUAUUAUAAUUCAGCUUUUAAGUUUUAAAAUAAAAAUAAAACCCCCGUAUUUUAGAGAAUAGCUGAAGCAGAAUCCAAAAGAAGCUCUGUCAGAAGCUGCUUUUCCUUUCAACUCUAUAGUCUUCUUUCCCCACCUCCAUAGCCGGCCCCCAUCCCCAGGCAAUGGCAGAGUCCUGAGAGAACUCCUUGCUGUGGAUGAAGCCCAUUUUGCCUGUGUUCAAGUUUGUUACCGCAUUAUUCCAUCUGGUGGUUCCCCAAACCACUUUCCUUUUUCGCUCUCCUUGUAAAUAUUUACUUAAGAAAGUUCUUGCAAUGGCAGGAUCCUAUAUUGGUGGCUUGGAACAAAGCAAAGAGUCUUGAUGUGUUUUAUUCCCUUUACUAACAAUUUGGUUAAGUGGAUUCCCUCCCAGCUCAUUAAAAAAAAAAUCCUUUCAUUUUAAUAACAUCAUCAGAAACUAAAUAGCAUCAGAGGGAAAAAUAAGUUUGCAAUGUACAGCCUCCAGUGGCAAUCUCUAGGCGCUCAGUAGCUGUUAAUGGUUGAAGCAAGAACUGGUGAUUUUCUUUAAUGGCUGGAAUUCAGUGUACAUUUUAAGGCCUCAUAUCCCUGGGCAGGGCGAGGAUCUGUGGGGCUUUUUUUGUUUAUUUGUUUGUUGGUUUUCUGGGGCGACUGGGUGGAUACAAGAUCAGAUAGCUGGGUCCGAAGCU